rnacentral:rRNA from 1 species
UACGGAGGGUGCAAGCGUUAAUCGGAAUUACUGGGCGUAAAGCGUGCGCAGGCGGUUUGUUAAGUCUGCUGUGAAAUCCCCGAGCUCAACUUGGGAAUUGCAGUGGAUACUGGCAGGCUGGAGUAUGGUAGAGGAAGGUGGAAUUCCCGGUGUAGCAGUGAAAUUCGUAGAUAUUCGCAAGAACACCAGUGGCGAAGGCGGCUCACUGGCCCGAUACUGACGCUGAGGCACGAAAGCGUGGGGAGCAAACAGG